UAGUAAAAUGCUCAGAAAUUAGAAAACUGAUGAACAUUCAAAUAGCAUAGUUCUAAUAAAUCACACAAACUGCCAAGACAAUAAUAAUAAUAAAAAAAUUUCCAAUAAUUAAAGCACAGUUAAUUAAAAUAUCAGGUUAUUUUCCUGUUUCUGUCAUUGAUCAGUAAAUAUUAAAAAUUACGUUUUCAAUUGUACACAAGUUCCCUUACAAGUUCUAACAUCAUCACAAUAAUUCAUAACUGCUAUCAUUGAGAAGUCCACACCUACCUUUCUACAGUAUAUCAAUAAUUGUAAGUUGAAUGUGGUUCAUUUGGAUCUUCUCCUUUCUCUGUACAGCAGUUGAUGCUGUGUGCUUUAUGAAGAGUCUCUGAGAGGUCUUGAUUAUAUAUCACGGUGUAAACAAACUGACUGCCUUAUAAAUAUAUUUGCUUAGCUUGCAUAUUAUUCAUUAGAUCAUGUCUGGCUUAGAUGUGACAUGACCUUCCUUGCAUAUGGGUUGAGAAACGGGAAGAGCAGGAGAUCUGCUGUAAAACAUGGAAAAGGACUUGUAACUAGAAAACAACAUUUAACCCUGAGUUUCUAUAAAUAAAUGAUGUGUAAAUGAUAAUGAAGGUACAAAUCUUGCUUCACUGGACUAUAUUCUGUAUUUUUUCUUGUAUGGAACAUUAAACUUGCUAAAAUACACUAUGCUGUAAAGAUUUACAUUGUGUCCUAUAAUGAUCAAUAGAGCAUCCUACACACUUUUCUACACUAUACCAUUCAUUAUUUACAUAAGAACUUAUCAUUACGUGGUCUAAUGCUUGUGACCUGAUUUUAAGAGACAGCUGUCUCUGAAUGCUGGCGUGUGCUAGAUACAUCUCUGUAACACAGUAAACAUCUCAGGUGUUUACAUUUCAUACAUCUUGUUCUAUUAAAUGACUAAUGUGUUUUCAUCUGUAGCAGUGUGGCAAUGAAGGUCUGGAGCUUCAAAAUAAUUGAUUGGCGUGGGGAAGCAGCAGGAGGCUCCUCGGACCCCUCCCGGAGCGGUGAUCCCAUUCCCCAGGUCGGGCCUCAUGCCCCAGCUGCUGGCUCCAUCCCCGUCCUCCAGCGGGGGGCGGCCCUUGGUGGCCCAGCCCAUCGGGACCUAGGGAGAGGGACAGGUUUUGGGGCAGGGGAGGAGGGAGAGACAGGGGAAGAGAGAGAGAGAGAGAGAGAGAGAGAUAGAUGGAAGGGCCUCGCCGACCCCGGAGCACGCCGCCAGCUGAUCCUCCGCCAGUUGAAUGGCCAGAUCCAGCGACGCCGGGUGGUGGCACUGGACCCACUGGGCGGUCCUCCUUGGGAGACGGGAGAUGAACUGCUCCAGUACCACCUUGCUGAUGAUGGUCUCGGCGUCGCUUUCUACGGCCAACAGCCAUUUGCGGCACGAGUCCCGGAGCUGCUGUGCCAAGACAAAGGGUCAGCCCGCUUCGGUCAGUUCCAGCGACCGGAAGCGCUGACGGUGUUGCUCGGGGCUGAGGCCGACCCUCUGGAGAAUGGCUCUUUUUAAAUCGGCAUACACCAGGAGGUUCGGGACGGGCAGUUGUUGGGCAGCCUUCUGGGCCUCCCCCGACAGCAACGGGAUGACCCGGACCGGCCAGCUGUCUGUCGACCACCCACAUGCCUCGGCCGUCUUCUCAAAAAGAUCGAGGAACACCUCUGGGUCAUCUGUUGGCCCCAUCUUCGUGAGAGGCAUGUGAGAGGCUGGGCUGGCACUGGGGGAGGCCGACCUCGUCCGACCCUCCCGGUCCAGCAAGCUCCGGAACAGCUCGCGGUCCUGCUGCUGGACCUGCAUCAUUGCCUGGAACCGGUGUUCGUGGUCGGCCCGUAAGUCCAGCAGGGCUUGGUGGUGUUCCUGAUGCAGGCCCGCGAGCGAUGUUAUGAUCUCCGCAAAUGGCGAUCCCGAUGGUCCUGACGGAGUUUGCAUGGCGGAAUCGUUCUCCUUCCUCCCGGGUUUCGGCACCAGUGUAACAAAGUUCGUUCAAGUAAAGAGGAAGGAGACCGGGGUCGGUGUGCUGAGGCUCGUGGGAUACUUUAUUUGACACAAAACAAUAAAAACAAAUAAACAAUCGCGCCA
ensembl:lncRNA